ensembl:lncRNA AHSA2P activator of HSP90 ATPase homolog 2, pseudogene
CCACGCCGCCAUGGCCAAGUGGGGCCAGGGGAACCCCCACUGGAUCGUGGAGGAGCGGGAGGACGGGACCAACGUGAACAACUGGCGCUGGCGCGGCUGGCGGCGGCCUCCUUCCGGGAUCUGGGGAGGGCCGGGCCGCGGGAGCCGGGGCUGCCCUGGGGUCUGUGCGGGGCCGCGGGGCCAGGGGGUCAGGGGGCCGCCCCCCCUCAGCUGCUGGACGCAGGGCUCGGCCUUCGCCUCUCGGCUCGGGAGAGUCCUUGAGUACGGAGACCGGCUAGGAGGGUUGCAGCUGCCUCUUUUUGAAAGUUGGGUUGGGCCCCAAGAGUGACUUCCGACAGACCUUUCCACUCCCACCGUCUGUGGCCUGAGGGCCUUCCCUUCUCCUCCCGCCCACCCCUCUGGAUGUUUCGGGGAGUUAGAAGGGAGCUGGAUUGAGAGACUGUGUUAGGGGCGGGGGUAUGGAACGUAGUGGAAAGGGCAGAAAUUUGGAUCUCAGUUCGCGCCCACCCCGCAGGCGCCUCCCGCGAGCCGGGCCCUCUGUGAGUGAGACAAGCUCCCCUUCCUUUACGCGCCUCACCUGGCGCGUGGGGAGAGGUCGGCAGCCCUCCGCCGCAGAACCUCCGGAAGGGAUGUCCUCUGCCCUGCGCCUCUGGCCGGGGCUGUGGUCCCUCCAGGCCGUCGAGGGGAUGCUGAGGCCGGUCCCCAGAGGAGCAUGACUUGGCUGGUCCGGAGGAGCUCUGAGGGCAUGGGCAAUCUUGGCUCGCUGCAACCUCAGCUUCCAGAGUUCAAGCGAGUCUCCUGCUUCAGCCUCAUGAGUAGCUGGGACUACAGAUGCGUGCCACUACGUCCGUCUGAUGUUUGUAUUUUUAGUAGAGACAGGGUUUCACCAUGUUGGUCAGGCUGCUCUCGAACUCCAGAUCUCGUGAUCCGCCCGCCUGGGCCUACUAAAGUGCUGGGAUUACAGGCGUGAGCUAGAUCUGACUUUCUAGUGUCCUAGCCUUGGCCCGAUGGACAUGUCAUUUCUCUCAGCUCGUUUCUGUCCCCUAAAGUGAGAAUAUUGCCUGGGAAGAUUACAUUAGACGAUGUAUAUGCGAAGACACUUGAUAGCUGGUAUUGUCAUGAUUCUGAUUAGUUCACUACUGCUACUUUCCCUGUGGCCUAGGCUUUGCCUAUUUCCAGUGGGCGAGCUAGCUAGAUCCUCCUCCCUUAAAUAAGCCAGUGUUUUUAAGACAGAAUACUACUUGCAUAGUGGACAAUAAUAUCUUAAAGAACUGAGCAGGAUGAAAAGAAUUUGAUAGAAAGCAGGUUUGAGGAGCACAUUGGAGGUUGGCAGGUUUCGAGGCUGCUUGAGAGGACUUGGGCCGAUCUGGGCUGGGCUUGGACGUGACCCUGGCACCCAGGCAGGUGGAUCCCAGCUGGGGCUUCCAUUCACGACUUUCUGGUCCCUGGCAGGACAGAGCGGGAUGCCACCAGCUUGUCCAAAGGGAAGUUCCAGGAGCUCCUGGUGGGCAUCGUUGUGGAGAAUGACGCUGGCCGCGGCGAGAUCAACGAGUUGAAGCAGGUGGAAGGGGAGGCUUCGUGCAGCAGCCGCAAAGGAAAGCUGAUUUUCUUCUAUGAGUGGAACAUCAAACUGGGCUGGAAAGGCAUCGUUAAAGAAUCUGGAGUGAAGCACAAGGGAUUGAUUGAAAUACCCAAUCUUUCUGAGGAAAAUGAAGUAGAUGACACUGAGAAUUUACAACGGGAAUGAUUUUACCAACGAAAGCUAUGGCAACCCAGGAAUUGACUGUCAAAAGAAAACUGAGUGGGAAUACCCUGCAGGUUCAGGCCUCAUCUCCAGUGGCACUGGGUGUAAGGAUUCCCACUGUGGCUCUUCACAUGAUGGAACUGUUUGACACAACUGUAGAGCAGCUGUAUAGCAUCUUCACUGUAAAGGAGUUAACAAAUAAGAAGAUCAUCAUGAAAUGGAGAUGUGGGAACUGGCCAGAAGAACACUAUGCCAUGGUUGCACUGAAUUUUGUGCCUACUCUAGGGCAAACAGAAUUACAAUUGAAGGAGUUCCUAUCUAUCUGUAAAGAAGAGAACAUGAAAUUCUGUUGGCAGAAGCAGCAUUUUGAAGAAAUAAAAGGUUCACUGCAGCUGACCCCCCUAAAUGGUUGAAUUAAAAUUUAUUAUAAGGCAUUACUUUUUGUAAGCGGAAAAAGUGUCACAUUUACCUCUUCCCUAUCUUUUGUUUAAAAGGACUGUCUUUAUUUUAUAUUGGAUGAAAUCUAUGAACAUAUAUACAAUGUAAAGCAUUGUUUGACUCUUUAUUAUAACUAGACACUGCAUUGAUUUAAAAGUAGCAAACAACCUGAAAUUAAGUAUUAACCUGACCUUCCAUCGAUAUUCCUCUGGAAAUAGGUAAGUCCUGAGUGCAGAUAGUUGAUGUUUCCCAAGCUGAAGCUUGUCCUAUAGCAAGCUUGCUUGCAGCUGUACUUUUAGUUCAAGAUGACAAAAAAUAAAUGGCAUGUUGACACUAUUCCUUUAUUUUACUUUAGGGUUUUUAAGGUGUGUAGAUCUUAGGUCGUAAAACAGUGGUAUAUUGCAUUCAAAAGCAUGUUGAGGUGAGGGCAAAUUGGCUGUGUUUUGCUCCACAUCUCCCUGCACAUCUCCCUGCUGUGGUUUUGCACUUCGGUGUGGAGAGGAUUGAGAAGUCUGUGGGGACACAUUAGUUCUGUGGACUGCUGGUAACACUUCCAGUGAAACAGCAUAUAAUGGAUAAAUGUUUCCCCCCUCUUUCACGGUUUUCUCACUACUUUCACCUGAGAAGACUGAAGCAACGUAUGUAAACAAAUGAAAAGUCAUCACAAUCAGUUUAAUUAAGUGCACAGAAUAGCAAUCAAUCAAUCAGUCAUGUCAAUAAAAAUAAAACAAUUAUUUUUACAUCAAGUGUGCUUUAUUUCCUCCACAGGUAUUCUGUUAAAUAAAGCACCAUUUAUAUACUGCCAGGCCACAGCUAAAGAGGAUUCUUUACAGAAUCAAAUUUCUUGUGGUUGUUCCGUAUACAAGUAAACUUAAUUUUGAUAAUAAGAACCACAGCGAUCGGAGGCAAUCUGCCUCUAUAAGGUACAAAACUGGCACAGAGGACACCAUAUCAUACACAGUAAAAAUGCUGUAAGUUUAAAUUACAUUGUACAGGGCUAGGCAACCCUGUUCUUCCCAGACAGCCAUAUUAAAUGAAAGCCACUAAAGUGAACUCUUAAUUACAUAAAACAUAUCCAUUAUCUGAUUGCCCUUUAGGAAGUAUACUGAAGAUGCAAGUUUUUUUCAUCUGGAGUUCUGCCUGACCAAGAAUUAAGCCUAUAAAUCUAUCUUGCCAUUCAAGCAGAGAGCACUGGACAAACUGAAGCACAAAAACAAAUAAGCAAAACUUAUACAAACAGCAUGGGGGUUGGGGGUGAGGGACUUAAAAGUAGACAUGCUACACCUAAUGUCAAGAAGCAGCUUGGUUUCCUUUGCCAGAUAUCCUUGUGACGACAUGGAUUGUAGAUUCAAUGGUCCUACACAGGGUAUCUAAAAUGUCAUGUUGCUGCAUAUGACUAAAGAGUCCUCUGGAAUGGCCACAACUGAGAGAUAAAGCAACCUCAGGGUCCUGGGAGGGCAAAGCUUGGCCAUCACAGCUUCUCAAGUCAGCUAAGUCAGACAGAACUGCAGAGAUAGAAGUAGAAGGGAACUCAGAUUCUUCCUCAGCUAGGGUAGAAUCCUUGGAACAGUGGAGGUCUUUAAAUUCUUUACAAUCGUCAUAUCUACCAUUGUUGGACUGUUCUUCUGCAUGCUGUGACCUGAUAUUUGACAUGUCUUCUGAAAACGAAGAUGGAACUUCCAUUCGGUAUUCUUUAACAGAACUAUUUUCAGGGGAAGGAAGAUCUUGCUCAGUUCCUGGAUCAAUAAUUGAGGAGUCUCUGGUCUCAUUGUCAGAAGUGCUCGUUGGGGUCAGGACCUCCCUGGUUUCUGUUUUCAUGUCACUGAUGCAGCUGUCUACAGUGUGCUCCUCAUCACUGCUAACACGCCGCCUUUUAAUGGGAGUUGCUCCUUCAUCAUCUGUGAAAACACAUGCCAAAAGGGAAACUUCUCUGAAAGUCAUUAAGAUCACGUUAGGGGGGGAUGUGGGAAGUUAAUUUUGUUUCUAGCAUUUAUAUUUAGGAGGUUCAGCUGAACACACAACUCUUAAACCAGUUACACCAAGUGUAUUACUCCCUCCUCCCACCCUAAAGGUAAUGAUAGUAGUCCAUAAAGCUAACCUUUAGUUUUUCUUUCUUUGGCUUCUUGCUCUUGGAGUGAGUUUCUCUGUUGCAGACAAGUCCUGCAUUUGCUUAAAAGCUCUUGCAGAGUUGGAAUUAGAGCUGGGUUUAACUGUUUGGGAGUGUGUACUGACAGGAGCAAAGCGAGUGCCCUCAGGUCCUACAAAAACCCAGAUAGGAACAUUUCAAAUUCUAAAGCCAACACUUUGAUGCAGUUGUUUACAGUUAAUUGCAGAUGUUUAUUUUCCCAGGAAUCCAUUCUUUCCUAAGAAUACCCUGGUUUCUCUGGGAUUCUUAGAAUGAUAAAACCAGAAAGCCAGUGUUAAGAUACUACAGCAUUUCAUUAGUUGUUUUUUUUUUUUGUUUUGUUUUUGUUUUUUUUGAGAUGGAGUCUUGUUCUUUGGCAAGGCUGGAGUGCAGUGGUGUAAUCUCGGCUCGCUGCAACCUCCACCACCCGGGUUCAAGCGAUUCCCCUCCCUCAGCCUCCCAAGUAGCUGGGACUACAGGCGCCCGCCACCACGCCUGGCUUAAUUUUUUCUAUUUUAGUAGAGACAGGGUUUCACCAUGUUGGCCAUUGAGAUGGUCUCAAUCUCCUGACCUCGUUAUCCACCGGCCUCGACCUCCCAAAAUGCUUGGAUUGCAGGCAUGAGCCACCGUGCCCAGCCUCAUUAGUUCUUAAAGUCACUAAUAGCAUUAUUUUAUGCCCACGAACCAGUAAGUCAGACCAAAGCCUGAAAUAGUGUUUUCUGAAAAAUGGAAAAGGAAAUAUAAGAAUUUUAAAAACAAACCUUGAAAUCAGUUUCUCAAGUUAAAAUUCUGAUGGAUGUCACAAAUAGUAAGGUCUUCCUUACUGAGCUCUGUCAUCUGUUUUGGCUUUUAUGCAUACUGUGAUUUGGGAGGCUGCUGCUCAACAUUCUAGCCCAUUUCCAGAGUGUUCCAUUAUUCUAGGACAUGGCUGUCAUGGGAGUCUGCACAAGGCAACUAAUGCUCUAGAUUUAACUGCCUUUUUUAAAUCAGUAGAUCAUUAAUUGUUUCAGUUACAUAGGAGCCAUAGGCAGUAAUAGAAACAUCACAAGUAUUGUUUCCAAAAAUAUACCCAACUAGAGAUAAGACCACUAAGAUGUUCCCUUUAUUACCUUUCAGCAUUUAAUGAUACCAGCUUGUAGCUUCCAAGGUGAUAGAGUGUGCUGUGUACAUACAAGGCAUAGUAAACGUGUAUUUAAAACUUGUUUUUUUGUCGCACAUGGCUUAAGAGUUUGAAUCAGUAAGUUAAAGUUACGAGAGUAAAAUCAUAUGAAGGCCACACAGUUAACUGAAGGACAGUUUAAAAGUGUGUGCCGCCGCCUCUGCAUAGUUCUUACCCCAUUUAAAGAAGCACUUGCUUUGGAAAUUUCAACUCGGUUGGAGAAAUCAGACUGUAGGUUCUGAUACUGGCUUAUCAAGUUUGUAAUAAGAGUGCUGAUCAAAUUGGCACAGUUUGCUUCAGAAAACACUUGACUUUGAACCUGAAAAAGAAGAUUUAAAAAAAUCUCCAAAAGACCAGCAUAAUGAAACCACAAGCAUUAACUAAUUAGAAAUGACACACUGAGUUUCCAAAGUACUACGUACCUUUAGAAGGAAAUGUGUCAUGAACGUGUAGACAAUGUUGUUGUUUAAAAAAGUUCUUUCAUCCAUUAGGAUACAUUUAAUAUAUUCUGCGAAAACAGGAUCUUCACACAAAAGCUUGAUGCAGUUUUUUGACAUAGCAGACUAAAGUGGGGAGAAGAUGGUUGAGCACUUACGGUUGAGCACGGAAAAAACUUACACGGAAAAAACUUACACAGAAAAAACAUACACUUGUGUAUGAUGGAAUCUGAAGCCACUGAAAAUCCUACUUGAAAAGCCAUGUCUAACUCACCUAUUGAAUUUUUAGUUAACAGCAACUAUUUUUCAUACAGUAAAAUGUUACUAAUUUAGAUUAAGGGAGUGCUGGGGGAAGACACUGAUGCCGAAACUGAACAAAUGUUUUAAAAGAAAUGCAGGUUUAUUAUCCAGCACUGAGAGAGUUAACAAGGACUGGAAAAAUAAGGCUAACAAAGAAUAGGAUGUGAAUGUUUUCAAGGGCCAAAUUAAUGUAUUUAUAGGUAACCAGAGCAUAUGUUGCAAAAAGACACAUUUUAAGAAUCAAAAUCAAUUCUCCAAAAUGUUUUAAACUUUACUGUAUAUUCUCGCUAGCAACAGUAAUUCUGUAAAUACCUUUUCCCCCCAUAAACACUGCAAGGGUAAACAAUAAAUCUUCUUUCCUAAUUAUCUCA